CAUAGCUACGACGCUCGUGCACACUCGAUAGGAGAACAUUCGGGUUGGCCGGUCGACGAGGAGGUGGUCCGAAGCGGCAUUCACCGGUGGCGACGUGAUGUUUCUGAGGCUCUGCUACGGUAGAGUUCAAUCGGGCGGGCUCAUAAUCAUCACGGCAUAUAAAGGAACUCAGAACACACAAAGACUUGGGUGUGUUUAUCUCGAAGAGUGUUGGCUAUGGUGGGGCAGGUGCGAGAGGGCACGACGAGGUCCGAUGGGGUCAAGGCAUGUUGUGGCAAGGUCAG
rnacentral:lncRNA from 7 species